GGGUAGAGCACUGUUUCGGCUAGGGGGCCAUCCCGGCUUACCAACCCGAUGCAAACUGCGAAUACCGGAGAAUGUUAUCACGGGAGACACACGGCGGGUGCUAACGUCCGUCGUGAAGAGGGAAACAACCCAGACCGCCAGCUAAGGUCCCAAAGUCAUGGUUAAGUGGGAAACGAUGUGGGAAGGCCCAGACAGCCAGGAUGUUGGCUUAGAAGCAGCCAUCAUUUAAAGAAAGCGUAAUAGCUCACUGGUCGAGUCGGCCUGCGCGGAAGAUGUAACGGGGCUAAACCAUGCACCGAAGCUGCGGCAGCGACACUUUAGUGUUGUUGGGUAGGGGAGCGUUCUGUAAGCCGUUGAAGGUGUCCUGUGAGGGGUGCUGGAGGUAUCAGAAGUGCGAAUGCUGACAUAAGUAACGAUAAAGCGGGUGAAAAGCCCGCUCGCCGGAAGACCAAGGGUUCCUGUCCAACGUUAAUCGGGGCAGGGUGAGUCGACCCCUAAGGCGAGGCCGAAAGGCGUAGUCGAUGGGAAACGGGUUAAUAUUCCCGUACUUGGUGUUACUGCGAAGGGGGGACGGAGAAGGCUAUGUUGGCCGGGCGACGGUUGUCCCGGUUUAAGCGUGUAGGUGUGUGUUCCAGGUAAAUCCGGUUCACUUUAACACUGAGGCGUGAUGACGAGGCACCACGGUGCUGAAGCAACAAAUGCCCUGCUUCCAGGAAAAGCCUCUAAGCAUCAGGUAACAUCAAAUCGUACCCCAAACCGACACAGGUGGUCAGGUAGAGAAUACCAAGGCGCUUGAGAGAACUCGGGUGAAGGAACUAGGCAAAAUGGUGCCGUAACUUCGGGAGAAGGCACGCUGACACGUAGGUGAAGUGAUUUACUCAUGGAGCUGAAGUCAGUCGAAGAUACCAGCUGGCUGCAACUGUUUAUUAAAAACACAGCACUGUGCAAACACGAAAGUGGACGUAUACGGUGUGACGCCUGCCCGGUGCCGGAAGGUUAAUUGAUGGGGUCAGCGCAAGCGAAGCUCCUGAUCGAAGCCCCGGUAAACGGCGGCCGUAACUAUAACGGUCCUAAGGUAGCGAAAUUCCUUGUCGGGUAAGUUCCGACCUGCACGAAUGGCGUAAUGAUGGCCAGGCUGUCUCCACCCGAGACUCAGUGAAAUUGAACUCGCUGUGAAGAUGCAGUGUACCCGCGGCAAGACGGAAAGACCCCGUGAACCUUUACUAUAGCUUGACACUGAACAUUGAGCCUUGAUGUGUAGGAUAGGUGGGAGGCUUUGAAGCGUGGACGCCAGUCUGCGUGGAGCCGACCUUGAAAUACCACCCUUUAAUGUUUGAUGUUCUAACGUGGACCCGUAAUCCGGGUUGCGGACAGUGUCUGGUGGGUAGUUUGACUGGGGCGGUCUCCUCCUAAAGAGUAACGGAGGAGCACGAAGGUUGGCUAAUCCUGGUCGGACAUCAGGAGGUUAGUGCAAUGGCAUAAGCCAGCUUGACUGCGAGCGUGACGGCGCGAGCAGGUGCGAAAGCAGGUCAUAGUGAUCCGGUGGUUCUGAAUGGAAGGGCCAUCGCUCAACGGAUAAAAGGUACUCCGGGGAUAACAGGCUGAUACCGCCCAAGAGUUCAUAUCGACGGCGGUGUUUGGCACCUCGAUGUCGGCUCAUCACAUCCUGGGGCUGAAGUAGGUCCCAAGGGUAUGGCUGUUCGCCAUUUAAAGUGGUACGCGAGCUGGGUUUAGAACGUCGUGAGACAGUUCGGUCCCUA
rnacentral:rRNA from 1 species